UAAACUCAAAGCGGUCUCACGCUCACUCUCUCAGAUUGACAACGCAAAAUCACAAAUCUCUUUCAGUCUCGCCAUAUCUUCACUUUCUCUGCCACCAUCUUCGGGUGUGUUUUUUAUUAUUUAUGUUUGAUUUUGUUUCAAGUUAUGUUUGAUUUUUGUUUUGGUUUAUCCCAAACAAAGAUCUUUCAUUGUCCUUGUUAUCCUUCUAUCCAUUUUAUAAUGAAAUGAAGUGUAAUUUGGUUGAUAAUUUGAAUUAUAUAAUUUAAUUUAGAACAUCGAUAUUUCAACUAUAUGAUGAUAUGUCAUGCUAUUUGGUUAGAUAAUUGUCAUGUUUUAUGUAACGCCCUAGUUAUUUAUUUAAUUAAUUUUAUACUAUGUGGAGCAUAUAUAUAUAUUAUUAUAUAUGAUGUUGGUGUUUUAUGUGGAGUAUAUGCAUGUAUUUAUAUAUAUGUGAUUUUUGGGUGAUUUAUAUGGUGUAUCAUUUUAUUAUAUGGUUUAUUUAAUAAUAAUUAGAAUAAGUAUGAAAUAUUAGUUAUUUUGGAGUUAGGGGAGUUAUUUAAUAUUUAUUAAAAUUAAUGGGGAGUUAAUGGAAAUAUUAGGGAGUUAAGUUAGAGGGAAGUUGGGAAAUAGAUGUCAGAAGCAGUUUACGUGAAACCAAGCCAAGGGAGAGAAAACCAGGAACAAGAGAGGAGAACCAAGAGUUGAUCAUUGCUGUGCAUUUCUUCUUCAAUUUCUAAGGUAAGGGUGAGGUUUACUUCAAUAGUAUAGAUUUUAAAGUCUGAUUUGAGUUUAACAGGUUUUUGGAGUGAAAUUGAGGAAUUGGGUUUUAAUUGAAUUUAUGGUUUUUGGAGUAGAUAUUGCUGUUCUGAAGUUAGAAUUUGGUUUUGGUUGCAUAGAAACAUUCAUUUCUCAUCUGUAAACUGAUUUGGGGAGUGAUUGGAAGGAAAAUGGGAUUUUUGGGAAAAACCAGUUUUCUGCCCGUACAUAAGUUCAUCGCUCGCCUCGCGAGUAGCUGUGCUCGCCAUGGCGAGUGAGCAACUUCAUCGCUCGCCUCGCGAGCAGUCCAACUCGCCAUGGCGAGUAAGCCCAGAUAAAAGUUGAUUUUUGAAAAGUUGUUAUAAGAUGUUUUGGGAAUGGUUUAAGGUACCUAGAUGAUAAUAAAGAUGAAUGGUGGAAGUUUUAGGUUAAAAAGAUGAAUAGGGAGCUUAGAAUUGGAGUUUGAGUGAGAAAAUAGCAUUUUUUCCCGAGAGCACCUAAUUUUCACUCGCCUCGAGUUCGCCUUGAACUCGCCAUGGCGAGCUAGUGUUUUUGUGAACUCGCCAUGGCGAGUAGAUGUGCUCGCGAGGCGAGCUACUCAGUUCCUGAAUGUUGAAUUUCGUGCUUGAAUGGUAGUACCUUAAUGUUGUUGUGUUGAGCAUAGUUUCAUGUAAUUAUGCAUUAUUGUGGUUGUUUUGAUUGCUGGAUUGAUGAUUGCUGAUGAUGAAUGAAAUGUAUGCAAAGUAUCGAAUCAUACAUGUUGUUUAAGUUGAGUCACAUGGAGUUGCAUUGCAUGGUCAGUUGUAUGUAGAUAUACACAAGUAGGUCCAUUGCAUAUGCAUAAAACAGCGGUGAGGGCUUCGGUCCUGGAGUACUAGUUGCUCAACAGCGGUGAGGGCUUCGGCCCUGAUGAAUGCUUUAACCAUUCAAAAGCGGUGAGGGCCUCGGUCCUGAUUGGUACCACAUGCAUUAUUGCAUUUCAUUUAAGAAGUCUAAGAUGGUGUCUUAGCAGUGGUCAUGUCAUUUGCAUGAGUCUUAGUGGUUAUUCAGUUGUUAUCUGAUAAAAUGGUUCUGGUGUUGAAUAUGUGAUAUAUAUAUAUAUAUAUAUAUAUAUUAUACUCAUUGUGAUUAUGGUGUGUUGUUGAUGUUGUUGUUGCUUGUGGCUUAUACCUAUAUAUGUCUACAAGAUAAUGUGUUGUUGCUUAGGGUGUUAGAUUCAAUUGAUGAUUUUUAAUAUCUAUAUUUAUUGUUGUGAAUCUCACCCCUUCUGCUUGAAAACGUUGCCCUUCCUAUGGGUAACUUGCAGGUGAUCCUGAGUAGUUGGUGGUGGCUCAAAGUCGUGUCUAGGGCUCUGAUACGUGGGAUGGGAUUUAUCUUUAUUGUUAUUGUUGCUUUUCCUUUCCAUGUAUCAAAUUUUGGCACUUGUGGUGUGGAGCCUUUUAUUGUCUUUUGAACAAUGUUGAUGAAUUAUGCUAAGGCCUUUAAUGCCGUAGGAUGUUGUUGGAUUGAAAACUAUUCCGCUGCUAUGUUUUCAUAUUUUAUCAAGUGGAUUGAUUAAAUAGUUCUAUUUUCUAUUUAAGAAUUUUGAAUUUGCAAUGUAGCAUGCCCGUUUGGUGAAAU
rnacentral:lncRNA from 1 species